UGACCACGCUGGCGGCAGGCCUAACAUUCAUGCAAGUCGAACGGUAGCACAGAGAGCUUGCUCUCGGGUGACGAGUGGCGGAUUCGGGUGAGUAAUGGGGAAACUGCGAUUUGGAGGGGGAUAACUACUGGAAACGGUAGCUAAUACCGCAUAACGUCGCAAGACCAAAGAGAAGGGGACCUUCGGGCCUCUUGCCAUCGGAUGUGCCCAGAUGGGAUUAGCUUGUAGGUGAGGUAACGGCUCACCUAGGCGACGAUCCCUAGCUGGGGUCUGAGAGGAUGACCAGCCACACUGGAACUGAUUGACACGGUCCAGACUCNGGGAGGCAGCAGUGGGGAAUAUUGGGCACAAUGGGCGCAAGCCUGAUGCAGCCAUGCCGCGUGGGGUAUGAAGAAGGCCUUCGGGGGGUUAGUACUUUCAGCGGGGAGGAAGGGAGUGAGGUUAAUAACCUUAUUCAUCGUUACCCGCAGAAGAAGCACCGGCUAACUCCGUGCCAGCAGCCGCGGUAAUACGGAGGGGGUGAAGCGUUAAUCGGAAUUGGGCGUAAAGCGCACGCAGGCGGUCUGUGUCGGAUGGAGGGAAUCCCCGGGCUCAACCUGGGAACUGCAUUCGAGGAACUGGCAGGCUGGAGUCUUGUAGAGGGGGGUAGAAUUCCAGGUGUAGCGGUGAAAUGCGUAGAGAUCUGGAGGACCGGUGGCGAAGGCGGCCCCCUGGACAAAGACUGACGGGCUCAGGUGCGAAAGCGUGGGGAGCAAACAGGAUUAGAUACCCUGGUAGUCCACGCUGUAAACGAUGUCGACUUGGAGGUUGUUCCGGUUGAGGAGUGGCUUCCGGAGCUAACGCGUUAAGUCGACCGCCUGGGGAGUACGCAAGGUUAAAACUCAAAUGAAUUGACGGGGGCCCGCACAAGCGGUGGAGCAUGUGGUUUAAUUCGAUGCAACGCGAAGAACCUUUACUCUUGACAUCCAGAGAAUUUAGCAGAGAUGCUUUGGUGCCUUCGGGAACUCUGAGACAGGUGCUGCAU
rnacentral:rRNA from 1 species